AGAGAGAGAGAGAGAGAGAGAGAGAGCAAGAUGAGUGGUGCAGUUCUGGUGGCUGUUGCUGCAGCAAUGGGUAACUUACUACAAGGAUGGGAUAAUGCUACUAUUGCUGGGAAAGCUUUGGUUUCUCCAAUUGAGAGAUAUGCAGUUGUUCCUGAUGACAACGCCAAAAGGAUAAAUUUUGCCGAGGGGAAGAUCUGAUUCUAGAAGUAAGGAAUUUGCAGCUUGAUUUUUGAAAUAGGCUCAAAAUUGAGAUCUUGUUGGAAAUUUUUUAUUUUUUUAUUUUUUGUAAGAGCAUUUAAAUAUUCAAUGUGCUGAUUGGUGAAUUUUAGAUUUUAUUUUAUUAUUUUAUAGGAUUUGGGUGAAUUUUCUAAUUUAAAUAUACU